rnacentral:rRNA from 1 species
UACAGAGGUCUCAAGCGUUGUUCGGAUUCAUUGGGCGUAAAGGGUGCGUAGGUGGCGCCAUAAGUCAGGUGUGAAAUCUCGGGGCUUAACUCCGAAACUGCAUUUGAUACUGUGGUGCUUGAGGACUGGAGAGGAGACUGGAAUUCACGGUGUAGCAGUGAAAUGCGUAGAUAUCGUGAGGAAGACCAGUGGCGAAGGCGGGUCUCUGGACAGUUCCUGACGCUGAGGCACGAAAGCCAGGGGAGCAAACGGG